GACGAACGCUGGCGGCGUGCUUAACACAUGCAAGUCGAACGGAAAGGCCCUGCUUUUGUUGGGUGCUCGAGUGGCGAACGGGUGAGUAACACGUGAGUAACCUGCCCUUUACUUUGGGAUAACUUCAGGAAACUGGGGCUAAUACCGGAUAGGAGCUCCUGCUGCAUGGUGGGGGUUGGAACGUUUCGGCGGUUGGGGAUGGACUCGCGGCUUAUCAGCUUGUUGGUGGGGUAGUGGCUUACCAAGGCUUUGACGGGUAGCCGGCCUGAGAGGGUGACCGGCCACAUUGGGACUGAGAUACGGCCCAGACUCCAACGGGGGGCAGCAGUGGGGAAUAUUGCACAAUGGGCGGAAGCCUGAGGCAGCAACGCCGCGGGCGGGAUGACGGCCUUCGGGUUGUAAACCGCUUUCGCCUGUGACGAAGCGUGAGUGACGGUAAUGGGUAAAGAAGCACCGGCUAACUACGUG
rnacentral:rRNA from 1 species